AGUGUGUUACUAUUAAUAUUAAUGUGUGUUGGUAAUGUUUGUUACUAUUAAUAGAUGAUAGUUAUGGAAGUGACAAGAGGAAGAGCAGCAGUGAGUCCUUACCUUCUCCUCCUCCCAUUCCUCCUGAUCAACUGGAUACAUUUAGCCUUCUCUCUAAAAUAAUAAAACGUAACCACACUAGUUAGCAUAAUCAACAAUUUGCCGGUCAACUUCUAUGAAUGACACUCCAUUUACUUCUAAGAUUCAUUAAAACUCAUUCCAGUACCAGCAGAAUGGGAACUAGACCUUCAGGAACUGAUGAACCAGAAGUGACGUCACUUGGAUGGAGUGAGAGCCAGGCCAGUGAGGACUCAUCAUACUUGGGACACUCUUUUAAAAACUAUGGUUUCAUAUCGUCCAGUGAAAUAACAUCCCAUAUUCACAGUCUUAGAGAAUACCUACCUAAAGGUAUUACACUGAAUUACUGAUCCUAGGAGGAAGGGACAGAGUUUGACUGUUUCUUACACAUAAUGGUGAGAAAAGAAUCCUGGGACCACGCCUCCACUGAGACUGUAAUCCAGUGAUCGUUAGUAACCGGUAACGUAAUGUUCCA
rnacentral:lncRNA from 1 species